UAGUUCUGCAAAGAAAAAAAAAAAAACCUCUGAAUACCCACACCAGAAUAGAAACUGGACAGUCGACUGAUUUGGAAAUGGAGAUAUCCGAAGUAUCUAUCUUCUCGCACACCAAAAGCAUGCAGCAUUUUCCGUACCUAUUUUAAAUACAACUUUGUCAGAAGACCAGUCAUCAUCAUCACCUUCCUCAGACGUCAUACUUGGAACGGAUGUCCUAGAUAUGAAGAUAUUACCUGCAAAGAAGAAGAAUUAAAAGAGUAUCUCUUACAACCAACCAGUGCCAUCCACCCCAGGCUAAUGCCCACGAGAGACCUGCCAGUUCAAACCCUACAGGCAACUUUAGAAGACCUACGGUUCAUAGCAAAGUGACUGAUAACAGAUGACUAGAGCGAUUCGCUCAAGAUCAUACAGGAUGCCUGUGGCAGAGCUGGGAACAGAACCCAAAUCUCUCUUCCCACUUCACAUAAACCACGAUACUACCCUUUAACUUCAGAAAGGCUGAUGAAAAGUAAGUUUUAGAUUUCUAUUUUAAGGUAUUAGCUGUAAAGCAGAUAAACACUUG